rnacentral:rRNA from 1 species
AUGAACGCUGGCGGCGUGCCUAAUACAUGCAAGUCGAGCGAACAGAUGAGGAGCUUGCUCCUCUGACGUUAGCGGCGGACGGGUGAGUAACACGUGGAUAACCUACCUAUAAGACUGGGAUAACUUCGGGAAACCGGAGCUAAUACCGGAUAAUAUAUUGAACCGCAUGGUUCAAUAGUGAAAGACGGUUUUGCUGUCACUUAUAGAUGGAUCCCCGCCGCAUUAGCUAGUUGGUAAGGUAACGGCUUACCAAGGCAACGAUGCGUAGCCGACCUGAGAGGGUGAUCGGCCACACUGGAACUGAGACACGGUCCAGACUCCUACGGGAGGCAGCAGUAGGGAAUCUUCCGCAAAGGGCGAAAGCCUGACGGAGCAACGCCGCGUGAGUGAUGAAGGUCUUCGGAUCGUAAAACUCUGUUAUUAGGGAAGAACAAAUGUGUAAGUAACUAUGCACGUCUUGACGGUACCUAAUCAGAAAGCCACGGCUAACUACGUG